rnacentral:rRNA from 1 species
AGAGUUUGAUCCUGGCUCAGGAGGAACGCUGGCGGUGUGCCUUAGGCAUGCAAGUCGAACGGACGUCACUCUUCGGAGUAACAUCAGUGGCAGACGGGUGAGUAACACGUAGGAAUCUACCCAAAAGUGGGGGAUAGCCCUCCGAAAGGAGGGGUAAUACCGCAUAUGGUCGCAAGAUCAAAGACGCAAGUCGCUAUUGGAGGAGCCUGCGCGCUAUCAGUUAGUUGGUGAGGUAAUGGCUCACCAAGACUAUGACGGCUAGCCGAUGUGAGAGCAUGAUCGGCCACAAGGUUACUGAGACACGGAACCUACACCUACGGGUGGCAGC